GGAGGGUAUUAACCGAAGGC
rnacentral:miRNA from 1 species